UAUAUAUGAGAAAACCUAAGAGCGAAAUUAACGUAACUGUUAAUGGGAUUACAUUUGUAAGUCUUCACGGAUUUACGAAUUUCCAUCCCGGGGCGAUUUAUCUAUUAAAACUAGCAAUAGUUUUAUAAAAUCGUACCUUGAGCAUACAUGGUAGGACCCGAAAGAUGGUGAACUAUGCCUGAUCAGGUUGAAGUCAGGGGAAACCCUGAUGGAGGACCGAAGCAGUUCUGACGUGCAAAUCGAUUGUCAGAAUUGGGUAUAGGGGCGAAAGACCAAUCGAACCAUCUAGUA
rnacentral:rRNA from 1 species